CAUUAAAACACUGGUUCCAAUAUGAUCACUGGUUAAGCAAUGUUGAGCCUGGUCAGUACCUAGAUGGGUGACCGCUUGGGAAUAGCAGGUGCUGUAA